CAGUCGCCGCGGGAAUACAGAGGGUGCGAGCGUUAAUCGGAUUUACUGGGCGUAAAGCGUGCGUAGGCGGCUUUUUAAGUCGGAUGUGAAAUCCCUGAGCUUAACUUAGGAAUUGCAUUCGAUACUGGGAAGCUAGAGUAUGGGAGAGGAUGGUAGAAUUCCAGGUGUAGCGGUGAAAUGCGUAGAGAUCUGGAGGAAUACCGAUGGCGAAGGCAGCCAUCUGGCCUAAUACUGACGCUGAGGUACGAGAGCAUGGGGAGCAAACAGGAUUAGAUACCCGCGUAGUCCCUGUCUCUUAUAC
rnacentral:rRNA from 1 species